UACGAAGGGUGCGAGCGUUGUUCGGAAUCACUGGGCGUAAAGCGCGUGUAGGCGGCCCACUAAGUCUGAUGUGAAAGCCCGGGGCUCACCCCCGGAAGUGCAUUGGAAACUGGUGGACUCGAGUCCCGGAGAGGAGAGUGGAAUUCCUGGUGUAGCGGUGAAAUGCGUAGAUAUCAGGAGGAACACCGGUGGCGAAGGCGGCUCUCUGGACGGUGACUGACGCUGAGACGCGAAAGCGUGGGGAGCAAACAGG
rnacentral:rRNA from 1 species